rnacentral:piRNA from 1 species
UUCUGCCCUUUUUGUGUAUUGAAUGCCAG